CUAUAAUAAUAUACAAAUAUAAAGAACAUAUAGCAAUUAAGCAAUUAAAAUUAAUACAUGAAAUAUAUAAUACAAAUGACAUUUUCAAACACGAUAAAAAGAAACAUUAUAUGCGUUUAACCACUUAUUUGGUUGUUCUCAUAUGCAUACAAGUCUUAUGCAAAUGAACACACUUCUAGACAGUCAGCAGAGGGUGCAGCAGACUUCUCAAG